GGCAGUUCUCAGGUGAUGCACCCCAGAAUCAGGCUCCAUCCUCUCUGGUUCCAGGUGUGUCACCUGAGAACUGCA
rfam:Myotis davidii contig200601, whole genome shotgun sequence.